GUAAUCGCUCUCCACUCCCUCCCCCACUUGCUACCGAAUCACAGCAGAUAAACAAAGAAGAUGCACUGAGGCUUCAGAGAAGUUCCUCUUCCCAUGGAGGAUGAAGUAGAUGGCCACUGUGAAGACCUGGCUCCCCAGCCAGCUGCAAGAUAACAGGAACAGGAGUUCCCAGAGAGACUUUUGGCAAGAUCCACUGAUGUCUCCUGGUUCUCACUGCUUCAGCUGUCAUCUUUGUGAAGAAGACAUCUACGGGGAUUCAGUGGAAAGAGAACAGGAUGGAACCCUGGCCAUUCCUCCAAACACCAGCUAGGAUGUGCUGGACUCUACGGAGACCUCUGGUUUCUGGCCCUGCGUGUAAGGGAGCUUGGAAGUCAUCACUGCCAUCCACACAGAAAGAAAAAUGCUGAACGAACUGAAAAUCAAUAACUCUUCUUAGAUCCGUCAGAGAACUGAGGUCAUGGGGCAAACCUCUGCCCUCAAAAUUGAAGAGAUAGGAGGAUGCAGAGAAACACAACUUACCGGAAUAGAAGCCCAGCAGCAGAAAACUCCAGGGGAACCACUACUCAGUUCCUUUUACCCAGCACAUCAUGUCCGGCUUUCAGCAAAACAGACCCCAUACGUUCCUUUCCUUAGUUUAAUGUAGGCAGUGUUGGCUCAUGUUGCUCAACCCCAAUGAACACGGCUUAUAGUCAUUUUGAUAUUCUUACACAUGUUCAAUAGCUACCAAGUGCCCACUAAAUGAAAGGUUGCUACUGGCCUCUGUGAGAAAUAUGAAAACAUGAGUUUCCUACUUUCCUGGGGCUCUCAACCUAUCAGAAACAGAUUUACAAAAGUAACGCUAAAUACAAGUUUAGUUGUAAACUUCUGCUAAAACAGAGACUCUAGGAAGUGCUGUGGGAAGUUAAGUUUGAUUGUGGAUAUUUGGGAAAGCUUUUUAAGCCACGACAUUUGAACUGGGUCUAAGAGAGGUUCAGUAGACACAGAUGGGGGUGGGGUGGUUUCCUGUACAUAGUGGGAAAUGAGAAUACAAAGAGUGUGGGACCAGAAUAUGAAAGAAUGGGAAGUGACUGAAGGUGGGGGACCCUGGAGUUCUGGGACCAGACUUGUGAUUAAAAUAAAUCUGAUAGCUUGGUGUAAGAUGAACCGGAAAGAGGAGACUGUUAGCGAGGUCACUGCAGCAAACCAAAGAGGUACUUAAAACUCAAACUAGAUGGAGAUAGUGAAAGAGAGGGGAGAGAGGCAUAGUCCUGUGAGAGGGAGAAUGGGUGGGAUUCAUUGACUGGAUGUGUGGGCACGAAGGGGACAAAAGGAGACAGAAAUGGAGUUGGUACCUCCCCUGAUCCAUUUCUUGAUACCACAACAUGCUGGGCCCUGGUGAUCUGCCAUGCUUUGCCAUCUCAGAGGGGCCCCACCACUUCUCUGAGCCUCUGUGUCUGGCUGGCAUGGGCUGUGUCCAGGAAGUUGUGGGGCUCGAGGCCAUCUUAGGGAUGCAUCAUUGGUAGAUCCUCCCCAUCAUUGUUCCCCACAGAAAGGCAGUGCAAGUGAGCAUCAAGUAAUACAGCCUUAAAAAAGGAAAAUAAACUAUAAGGUGCCUUUCUGAAGGAAUCCUGUAGAAGGUAUGUGGUGGGGAGAAGUGGGGCAGUCCAGCCACUUCCUCUGUGAGAAGGGAAC